rnacentral:rRNA from 1 species
AUUGAACGCUGGCGGCAGGCCUAACACAUGCAAGUCGAGCGGAUGAAGGGAGCUUGCUCCUGGAUUCAGCGGCGGACGGGUGAGUAAUGCCUAGGAAUCUGCCUGGUAGUGGGGGAUAACGUCCGGAAACGGGCGCUAAUACCGCAUACGUCCUGAGGGAGAAAGUGGGGGAUCUUCGGACCUCACGCUAUCAGAUGAGCCUAGGUCGGAUUAGCUAGUUGGUGGGGUAAAGGCCUACCAAGGCGACGAUCCGUAACUGGUCUGAGAGGAUGAUCAGUCACACUGGAACUGAGACACGGUCCAGACUCCUACGGGAGGCAGCAGUGGGGAAUAUUGGACAAUGGGCGAAAGCCUGAUCCAGCCAUGCCGAGUGUGUGAAGAAGGUCUUCGGAUUGUAAAGAACUUUAAGCUGGGAGGAAGGGCAGUAAGUUAAUACCUUGCUGUUUUGACGUUACCAACAGAAUAAGCACCGGCUAACUUCGUG